rnacentral:lncRNA from 1 species
UUUUUUUUUUUUUUUUUUUGGUCAGCUUGAGAAUCAGACUGCUAGGGUUUGAGUCUCCUUAGCUUCUCUGAGCAUCAGUGGGUGUCCUCACAGGAUUGUUCUGAGAAUGUAAGCACCUGGUGGGAGUUAAACCAUGUUAUAAAAAGCAUUUCCAUUUUCUUUGAAAUGUUGGGAGGUGGAAGAAAUCUAUUAAACUCAACCUUGUCUGAGGAACGUGGAAAAAUCCUGAUUUGAAAACCAGUUUCUAAGGGCUCAGACUGGACUCAGACUCCAGGACACAAAUGCAGUGUCUGCUGCCUUCCAGCUAUUUGACCUUGGGUAGGACACUUAACCUGUGGGCCUCAACCUCAUGAGCAUGUCACAUUUCUUCAUGAGGGUUAAGUACGUUUAAUAGGCAUGUACAGUCCUUGAGACAGCUCUUUGUCAUAGGGAUUCAGUCUUCGGUGGUAUGAGUCUGGUGGUGAGGUGGUGGCAAUGGUUUUGCACUUAGAGCUAAUCUUAGUUCCUCAGUCCUACUGCCAGUCCCUUCAGUCCUGGUUUGAGUGGCUACAUUGGGAGUCCUGUUGGCUUUUAUCCCUUCCUUUGGAAUUUCUAAAUCAGUUGUGUCCAUGGCUUCCACCUAGUUGAUGCAAAGUCGGUACCACUUGAUCACCAGUUCCAGGACAUCGUUAACGCCUCAUUUCCUCAUUCAUGGAGUGAAUGAAUUCAGUGUGUUCCCUCAAAAGUCCUAUGGAAACCCUCCUUUCCCCAAUAUGAUGGUCUUGGGUGAUUUUCAUUAGAUAAGGUGAUGAAGAGUGGGUAGUGCCCUCACAAGUCCCAAGAAGGCUUUCCUCUGUUCUCAGCCACAUGAGGAUACAAGAAAUUGGUAGUUUGGAAAAGGGAUCUCCCUAGAGCUCAGCCCUGCUGGCACCUUGAUGGACUUCCAGGCUCCAGAACUGAGAAGUUGAUAAGCUGCCCACUCUGGUAUUUUUAGUUCCCUGAACUGAGAUUAUAGGUCUGUUGGAAGAGUUCCAGUAUUGGAGGUCUGCCUCCCUGGCUCCAGUUAGUUGGAAAGGCCCCAUAGACCCUUCUACCCAACCAGUCAUGAAUCUACUUUGGCAAGUGGAUGGAGGCUAGGGAACUUCUCACACCUCUUGAUUGGCUCACUGAACCAGGAAAAUAGGCCUUGUGGCUGCCACCACUGGUUGAUGUUGGGUACUUGGUAUGAGGAAGCAUUCUGAGCCUUUGGGGACCCAAGGCAGUGGGAGCUGGCAGGAAGAACGCCAUUCCUGCCUUGCAGGUAGGCCACAGUGAGGGGGCAUCUGCUGCCUGCCUGUCAGGAAGUGAAAUGUCAUCCUGGCUUUAGGCAAGAUUGCAUAAUCAACUGUGAAAUUCCUGCAACAAAGUGAUUCCUAAGUGACAUCAACAAAGACUACAGCCUCUUACACCUGUUCUGCUCUCCUGAUGUAGAAAGUUUCUUGUAGGGACACCUGGGUGGCUCAGCAGUUGAGCAUCUGACUGGCUCAGAGUGUGAUCCUGGGAUCCCCGGAUCGAGUCCCACAUCGGGCUCCCUGCAUGGAGCCUGCUUCCCCCUCUGCCUGUCCUGCUUCUCCCUCUGCCUGUAUCUCUGCCUCUCUCUCGGUCUCGGUCUUGGGAUCUCAUGAAUAAAUAAAAUAUUUUUUAAAAAAAUAGACCAGGUCCUUGGUCUGCAAAUACUUGUAUUUUCAAGCCCUGUAUCUUUCCUAGACCAAAAACUUUGAUGCAAACCUUUUUUAGACCCCUUACCUCUGUCCAUUUCAAGAAUAAAUCCAAGGCCCUGCCCUUCCCACCUCAUGUGGGCUGCUUCACAGCCUAAUUCCUCUGCCUCAGGUUCAACAAGUGUAAGAUGUAAAUAACAGUGCCCUCAAGAUGGGCAUCUUAGGACAUGGCAAAUUACUGAUAGUGCACCCACACCCUUGUCCCAUGCACUCCUGGAUUUGGGGUUAUAUGAAACUUUCAAAAGGCUUUUCAAAAUAAGUUGCUGUGAAUAUUUAAGGUAUUGGGACACUUGGGUAGCUCAGCAGUUAGGCGCACCUGCCUUCAGCUCAGAGCAUGAUCCUGGAGUACCGGGGUCGAGUUCCACAUCAGGCUCCCUACUUGCAUCUGCCUCUGCCUAUGUCUGCCUCUCUGUGUCUCAUGAACAAAUAAGAUCUUUAAAAAAAUAUUUAAGGUAUUGGAAGAAGGCAUAUUGGGUAAUGAUCAGUAGCCAGUGUUCUACCACUUUGCUUCUCAGGAUGAAAUCUGUCCUCCAGCUGCAUUCUUCCACCUCCCCCACCUUUCCUCAGACUGAGAUAGAGGCCAUGAUCAUUUUUCUAAUUCAGAGUGCACAAAGACCUGAGAAACUAGAAGUGGGUUUUUUUUUCAAAUUUGAUACGAGACCUGACACGGAGCUUUUCAUAAUUUUUUGCUUGUUUUUAAGUCAUCUACACCUAAUGGGCUCAAACUCAACCCCAAGAUGGAGUCCUAUGCUCUUCGAGCCAAACACCCCAAAGCUUUUCAUAAUCUCUUUUUUUCCUCUUAGUAUGAAUAUGCAUAUAACAUACUACAGAAAAUGUUCGGUUAUAGAGCGCUGCCCCGGAGCCUGUUGAGCAGUCUUAACAGUGAAUGUACCAAGGAAGUUCAGCCUUAUAAAUUGUCCAAAACCGUCCAUGGCAUUCUGUAUAAACAUUCCUAGUACAACGUUGAGUCAAAUUUUUGGACUCAAUUUUAAGCCUAAGUGAAACUCUUCUUUGGAAUUUUCCUUUGUUUUUUCUAGUUUUUAGUAAUUAUCUGGACACAUGAUUUGUGGUCUGGGUUUUAACCCUUAUGAUUGUAAUCCAUAGUAACAGGUAUGUUUUUAUUCAUUGGAGUCCAGUCUACCCACUUGUCUCCAUAAGGGAAGAAAGGCUUAAUGAAAGAAAUGUGCCAAGUGCCCUGGUGUUUCCCACUUCGUUGUGUCUUAACAGCUGGCCCAAACCACUCCAAUGCUUGUGAAGCCCGCAGCUUAAAAAAAACAAACAAAAAAAAAAA